GCCUUGGUAGUUCAGCUGGUGGAGCAUGAGACUCUUAAUCUCAGGUCUGUAGGUUCAAGCCCCACGUUGCGCA